rnacentral:rRNA from 1 species
GAUGAACGCUAGCUACAGGCUUAACACAUGCAAGUCGAGGGGUAACGAGAGGAAAGCUUGCUUUCCUUGUUGACGUCCGGCGCACGGGUGAGUAACGCGUAUCCAACCUGCCCCCAACUAGGGAAUAACCUUGCGAAAGUAAGACUAAUACCCUAUAAUUUCCUCAGAUGUCAUCUGACGAGGAAUAAAGAUUUAUCGGUUGUGGAUGGGGAUGCGUCUGAUUAGCUUGUUGGCGGGGUAACGGCCCACCAAGGCAACGAUCAGUAGGGGUUUUGAGAGGAAGGACCCGCACAGUUGAACUGAGACACGGUCCAAACUCCUACGGGAGUCAGCAGUGAGGAAUAUUGGUCAAUUGGCGGAAGCCUGAACCAGCCAAGUAGCGUGCAGAAUGACGGCCCUAUGGGUUGUAAACUGCUUUUAUACAGGAAUAAAGUUAGCCACGUGUGGUUAUUUGUAGGUACUGUAUGAAUAAGGACCGGCUAAUUCCGUGCCAGCCGCCGCAGUAACAC